rnacentral:misc_RNA from 1 species
AACGCACAUUGCGCCUCUCGGUAUUCCGGGAGGCACGCCUGUUCGAGCGCCAUUACACACCCCAAGCUCGGCUUGAUGUUGGACGCUGUCUGUGAAAGGACAGGUCUGGAACGCGUGGGCGCCGCCGCCGGACCACGAGCGUAGCAAGACGCAAGUCAAUCGCUCUGUGGGGUCACUCGGUGGACGGCCGUCUAGACGUGGGGUUUAACCACCUGGCGUCGCAAACACACAACCGAAGUUUGGCCUCGGAUCAGGCGGGGAUACCCGCUGAACUUAA